rnacentral:rRNA from 1 species
UGCAAGUCGAACGGAAUCUUUCGGGAUUUAGUGGCGGACGGGUGAGUAACGCGUGAGAAUCUGCCUUCAGGUUCGGGACAACAGCUGGAAACGGCUGCUAAUACCGGAUGUGCCGAGAGGUGAAAGCUUUAGUGCCUGGAGAUGAGCUCGCGUCUGAUUAGCUAGUAGGAGUGGUAACGGCACCCCUAGGCGACGAUCAGUAGCUGGUCUGAGAGGAUGAUCAGCCACACUGGGACUGAGACACGGCCCAGACUCCUACGGGAGGCAGCAGUGGGGAAUUUUCCGCAAUGGGCGCAAGCCUGACGGAGCAAGACCGCGUGAGGGAAGAAGGUCUGUGGAUUGUAAACCUCUUUUGACAGGGAAGAAGACAGUGACGGUACCUGUCGAAUCAGCCUCGGCUAACUCCGUGCCAGCAGCCGCGGUAAUACGGAGGAGGCAAGCGUUAUCCGGAAUUAUUGGGCGUAAAGAGUCCGUAGGUGGGUCACCCAGUCAGCUGUUAAAUAGUGAAGCUUAACUUCAUAGAGGCGGCUGAAACUGGUGGUCUAGAGUGUGGUAGGGUAGAGGGAAUUUCCAGUGUAGCGGUGAAAUGCGUAGAUAUUGGAAAGAACACCGGUGGCGAAAGCGCUCUACUGGGCCUGCACUGACACUGAGGGACGAAAGCUAGGGGAGCGAAAGGGAUUAGAUACCCCUGUAGUCCUAGCCGUAAAGAUGGAUCUAGGGUUGCCCGUAUCGACCCGGGAGUGUCUUACCAACCGUUAAAUUCCCGCCUGGGGAGUACCCACGCAAGAGUGAAACUCAA